rnacentral:rRNA from 1 species
GACGAACGCUGGCGGCGUGCUUAACACAUGCAAGUCGAACGGAAAGGCCCUGCUUGCAGGGUACUCGAGUGGCGAACGGGUGAGUAACACGUGGGUGAUCUGCCCUGCACUUCGGGAUAAGCCUGGGAAACUGGGUCUAAUACCGGAUAGGAGCCAUUUCUAGUGUGAUGGUUGGAAAGUUUUGUCGGUGUAGGAUGAGCUCGCGGCCUAUCAGCUUGUUGGUGGGGUAAUGGCCUACCAAGGCGGCGACGGGUAGCCGGCCUGAGAGGGUGGACGGCCACAUUGGGACUGAGAUACGGCCCAGACUCCUACGGGAGGCAGCAGUGGGGAAUAUUGCACAAUGGGCGCAAGCCUGAUGCAGCGACGCCGCGUGGGGGAUGACGGCCUUCGGGUUGUAAACUCCUUUCGCUAGGGACGAAGCUUUUUGUGACGGUACCUAGAUAAGAAGCACCGGCUAACUACGUGCCAGCAGCCGCGGUAA